AUAUUACUAUGUAUAUUAUAUCACGAUAUAGUACAAUAUGUUAUUUAAUACCAAUGGUAUAAUAUAGUGGUGGUAUAAGAUUAGAAUAGAUCAAGGAGAAAGAUUUAUUGGAUGAUAAUAAUAAAAUAGAUAAAUAUGUCAUAAGAAAUAGAUAAGACAUUUAUUACUAUUACAAGAAGAAAUAGAAUAAGAAUUAUUUAUUUCAUUAUUAUCAUAUAUACUAUUAUUAUAACAUUAUAUAUUUUUAUAAUACUAUGUAUAUUAUAUCACGAUAUAGUACAAUAUGUUAUUUAAUACCAAUAGUAUAAUAUAGUGGUGGUAUAAGAUUAGAAUAGAUCAAGGAGAAAGAUUUAUUGGAUAAUAAUAAUAAUAAUAAAACAGAUAAAUAUGUCAUUAUAAGAAAUAGAUAAAUAAGACAUUUAUUAUUAUUACUAGAAGAAAUUGAAUGAGAAUUAUUUAUUAUUAUUAUAUAUACUAGUAUUAUAAAAUUAUAUAUUAUUAUAAUACAAUAGAGUCUCACUUAUCCAACAUAAACGGGCCGGCAGAAUGUUGGAUAAGCGAAUAUGUUGGAUAGUAAGGAGAGCUUAAGGAGAAGCCUAUUAAACAUCAAAUUAGGUUAUGAUUUUACAAAUUAAGCAUCAAAACAUCAUGUUAUACAACAAAUUUGACAGAAAAAGUAGUUCAAUACACAGUAAUGUUAUGUUGUAAUUACUAUAUUUAGGAAUUUAGCACCAAAAUAUCACAAUAUAUUGAAAACAUUGCCUACAAAAAUGCCUUGGAUAAUCCAGAACCUUGGAUAAGCGAGGCUUGGAUAAGUGAGACUCUACUGUAAAUAUUAUGUCAUUAUAAAAAUAGAUAAAUAAGAUAUUUAUUAUUAUUAUAAGAAGAAAUGGAAUAAGAAUUGUUUAUUGUAUUAUUAUAUAUACAGUAGAGUCUCACUUAUCCAGGCUUCACUUAUCCAAGUUUCUGUAUUAUCCAAGGCAGUCUGCCUUUUAGUAGUUAUUGUUUUUGUAGUAAAUGUUGCAAUGUUUUGGUGCUAAAUUUGUAAAAACAAUAAUAUUUGUGUGUCUCACUGUAUAUGAUUGUAAAGGCACUGAAUGUUUGCCUAUGUACGUAAAUGCUGUAAUCCGCUCUGAGUCCCCUUGGGGAGAAGGACGGAAUAUAAAUAGAGUGUAUUAUUAUUAUUAUUGUAUGACACCGCAAGCAAGAUAGAUAUGCUGGAUUUCAUUUCACAAAAUCACAAGUCAAACACUUCUCAAGUGUCUAGGACUGUGUGAUGUAUUUUCGGAUGAUGUGUGCAGAUCCCAAUCGGGUGGCCUUUUGCAGUUGACAGAUCGUAAUUUUGUCAAUGUCUAUUGUUUCCAAAUGCCGGCUGAGAUCUUUUGGCACGGCACCCAGUGUGCCCAUCACCACCGGGACCACCUGCACUGGUUUCUGCCAGAGUCUUUGAAGUUCAAUCUUGAGGUGGCAUCGUGAGGACCCAUGUGCUGAGCUGCGCACAGAUGUUUGGGCUGCAAAAUCAGCAAAUGUGGUAGAGGGAUAGCGUUCUAUUUUCAAAGGUUUCCAGGAGCCAGUGCUUGACCAUUGGGAGCAGAAAGUGAAAAAGAGGAAGUACUUUGCAUCAUCAAAACACCAAGAAGUUCAAGUUGGAGGUUCUGCCUACCAGGGCCUCCUCGACCUUUAUGUGGACAAGAUUGAGAAGGUUUCCACUGCCUUUUUCAAGCCUCUGAGCAGGUAAGUCUCUGAUUUGAUUAAUAAACAUUGCUACAGUAUUCUAUAGUAUGAAGAACAGGUUUGAUUAAAAAACAUCCUUAGUCUUUUCACAUAGAAGAAAUCAAUUGAAGAGCCUGCCAUGAGAAACAUACAUGAAAAACCAGCAUGCUCAUAACAAAUGAUGAUAAUAAUAAUAACACUUUAUUUAUAUACCACCCUAUCUCCUCAGGGGACUCAGGGAGUUUCCAACAUGAUCAAAACAAUACAAUACAAUACACAUAAUCAAACAAAACCAUACAGCAAUUUAAAAUAAAACAGCAAAUGUUAUUUGCUCUUGAUGAUGUAUUGGCUAGCACAUACGCACAGAAAGAAAGCAAUUUCAAAGAAUCGAAGCUUAAAAUGAGAUCUCAUGAGAUCUUUGCUUAGUCUUGUCUGUAUUGAAUGUUUUUUUAUAUAUGCUGGAACUCAAUUGACAGACCCAGUCUUUUAAACUUGAACACGCCUAUCUGUAUUUUAUAAUGCGUUUUAUGAAUGUCCCAUGUAAGUUAAUUUUUUAACUGAUUUAUAGUGUAUUGUACAAUUUUAUAUAUGCUUUUUAUUGUAAGCCGCCCUGAGUCCCCUGUUGGGUGAGAAGGGCGGGAUAUAAAUAUUGUAAUAAAUAAAUAAAUAAAAAUGUCUAUAAAAACAAGUUAAGUCAAUGAACAGGCGUGGCACUCUGAACUUGUCUAUGGUCGCUCACCGUGAGCUUAUUAGCUUAUUAUUAUAAUGCUUGACAAUCAGGUUUUUAGGUUUCUUGAUGAAAGUAUAAGAAUUGGCAUAGAAAUGUAAUCUGUUAGAAAUCCC